AUCGCUUCUCGGCCUUUUGGCUAAGAUCAAGUGUAGUAUCUGUUAUUUUGUUAUUGAUUUUUUUGUCUAGAUGAUCUAACUACU
rnacentral:snRNA from 1 species